UCCAGGAGCGGGGCGCUGAACCUUCCCUUUUGCUCUUUAUCUGCAGACGUUGGGGAGAGAAACGAGAAGUUACAGAAACCUGCCCAUGAAGUCCGUGAUUGUCUGCUCUCCAGUCAAUCAGGUCAUGUGGAAAUACAACAUGGGAAACAUCCAUCCUUCAUCCUCGGACUGCCUCCCCUCUCUGACCCGUCUCUGUUAGCAGUCAAAUUGCUGCUGGUGCAGUUAGGUUUGUGAGUGUGAGGAGACGAAAAACAAUGACACGGAGGAAGACGGAGGGGAAGUCGGCGGUCUCCUGCCUGUUUGUUUCUUUUGAGCAGCAGACUAAUUUGUUUUGCCUUAAGCUCCAAAUUUUCUAUUAAGCUGUGUAUUAUCUUACAUCCAGCAAAAGUUGUUUCUGACUAAAAAGAUAAAAAAAGAAGAAGAAGAAAAAACGAUGAGUGAUUUAUUCAGCAUCUCUUAUCCGAAUCAGGGGAUUUUCUUAAACUUUGAUGCGUGGGUGUGAGCUGUGGCGCGGCUGCU